rnacentral:lncRNA from 1 species
GAGAUCUGAACAAAUUUAAAAGAUCUGUUUUUGUUCUAUAUUUAUGAAUCGAUGGCCAUAAUUCAUUGAAUACAUUUACUUAUUAUAUACUUAGUAGUAAAUACAGAUAAAUUGUAUGUGUAAUACAAUCAGCCACCCGUGAUGAUAUCGAUAUCAGCACGGUUGCAAAAGCUUUAUCACACCUUUAAUCUGUAUGACGUCACGUCAUCGAUUGCAGUCACUGUUGCAAAGGUUUUAUCAAAACCCUAAUCUGUAUGACGUCAUUUCAAUCCUCCUUAUCUGUAUGAUGUCAUGUCACAUAAAAAACAUCUACUUGAGAUAUAUGUAUAUAAUAAAGUGUAUAUGAUAUGGCUUUUUCAAUAUCACACACCGUAUCAACCCUCAACCAAUAUAAUCCCUCGAGCAGAGCUCUUGGGAUUAUAUUGCUCUCUCGGACUGAUACGGAUGUGAUAUUGAAAAAGCCAUUUGAUAUUCUCUAUUUAUGGGGAUCAAAACAGAAUAUUGAACUUCUGUAACUUCAAAAAAACUGGACGGAGAA